rnacentral:rRNA from 1 species
CUACGGGGCGCACCAGUGAGGAAUAUUGCACAAUGGAGGAAACUCUGAUGCAGCAACGCCGCGUGGAGGAUGACGCAUUUCGGUGUGUAAACUCCUUUUAUGAGUCAAGAAAAUGACGGUAGCUCAUGAAUAAGCACCGGCUAACUCCGUGCCAGCAGCCGCGGUGAAUACGGAGGGUGCAAGCGUUACUCGGAAUCACUGGGCGUAAAGGGCGCGUAGGCGGGAUAUCAAGUCAGGUGUGAAAUCCUACAGCUUAACUGUAGAACUGCACCUGAAACUGGUAACCUAGAGUAUGGGAGGGGGAGAUGGAAUUAGUGGUGUAGGGGUAAAAUCCGUAGAUAUCACUAGGAAUACCUAAAGCGAAGGCGAUCUCCUGGAACAUAACUGACGCUAAGGCGUGAAAGCGUGGGGAGCAAACAGGAUUAGAUACCCCAGUAGUC